UACAGAGGGGGCAAGCGUUAUUCGGAAUUAUUGGGCGUAAAGGGCGCGUAGGCGGCCUGGCAAGUGGAAGGUGAAAUCCCUCGGCUCAACCGAGGAACUGCCCUCCAAACUGCUUGGCUUGAGUCCGGGAGAGGUGAGUGGAAUUCCCAGUGUAGCGGUGAAAUGCGUAGAUAUUGGGAGGAACACCAGUGGCGAAGGCGGCUCACUGGACCGGAACUGACGCUGAGGCGCGAAAGCGUGGGGAGCAAACGGG
rnacentral:rRNA from 1 species